GAGGUGGUGGCGCAGUUGGCUAGCAUGUAGGUCUCAUAGCUUCUGAGUCAUCCUGAGAUCGAGAGUUUAGGCCUCUCUUACGCUACUUCU